GCAGUACAUACACCCCAAACCUCUACUAUUCAUUCCCAGACAUGCUAGCCGAGUACCAUAGAGUGGAAAGGCAGUGUGCAGAGCGGGUGUGUGAGUGAGACGUGUUGGUUUCAUUGAAUAGAGCUGGAGGCAGUUCUGUUCAUACAGUUCAGCUCAUCAGUCUGGGGGAGGACAUCCUGUACAUCACAAAGGCUCCAGCAGCACCCCCACACCGGCCACCGGGUCCAGGAAACCCCCGCCACUGAAUCGGGUACGGGAACACGUAAGUUUGUUUUAUAUUCUCUUCGUCUCAUUCAUUAGCUCAGUGAUGUAUUGGUAUUUAGACUGUAAUAGGAGCAUAUUGGGUAUCAGACUGGUCCUGGCUAGCACACCAUUCCUCUGAUUGCCAUCUGCUCUUGGAGAACACUGAUUAGCCAUCUGUUAAUAUUUUAUUUUCUAUAAUAUCUGGCAUAAUUGUCCACUGAAUUAAAGAAUGCAGGGUAAUUUCCUUUAACCCCUUAAGGACAAAACUUCUGGAAUAAAAGGGAAUCAUGACGUCAUGUGUCCUUAAGAGGUUAAAACCCACUCCUUUGUUAAACUCUUUCCUCCUUUUUUUAUUUUUUUAUUUUUUUUAAAUUUUAUUAUUCCUUUCAUUUUAUCUUAUUUUGUUCUCAAGUCUUGCCAGGAAACAGGUCCAGUCUCUCUUUACAUACAAUCAAGCUAACUAAAUCAAAUUAACUCUUUUGAACGACUAAAACUCCCAUCAGCCUUUAGAGAGGGUGAUGAGAAUUGUUGAACAAAAGGAAACUAAUGUGAUCAUUUGAAAUGCCCUUAUUAGGUAUAAUGCCAUUACUCUGAAUCAGUGUAGUAAUACAUGUGUGUGGGUUGGUUUUCCACGAUUGUGAGUGGGAAUAGAAGGGAUGUAUAUGUUUCAGUGCUACCCUAAGAUUUAAUGAAAACUAGUCUUUUAAACAAAACCUAGUGGAAUAUAAAAGACAUGACUCUCAAAUAUUGUAAAGCGCUACGGAAUCUGUUGGCGCUAUAUAAAUGAUGAUAAUAAUAAUAAUAAUUGAUUUGUUUGUUUAAAUGUCCCUAGAACUCUCAUGUAUUUUAGUUAUAGUGUACUCUCUCUAUCACCCAGAGGGGACCCCAUAACCUCAUCCACUGUGUGUAGUGUCCAGGGGUUAAAUUUAAGACCCUCUGUUAUCCAGAGUUUCACCCAUUUUAAAAUCAUAUGCACAAAUUAAUGUAUUUGUAAGCAAGUAUGUGCCUGCACAGCCUUACCCUGAUAUACAGUAUAUGUCAUCGAUGGAGGUAUAGUGUUUCAAAGGGCUGCUUAGUUAAUAAUUCUAGUGACAGAAGAAAGGCUAGUCCUUAUAGAACCAACAUUGUCAGCGAAUACCAAGCUGCCAGCACAAGGCUCCCAAAAGUUGAGUAAAGAAACUGGCACAGAGGAUAGAGCUCCAGUAUAUCAGAGUCACAGGUUUGAUUGCCAAACUUACACUAUAACUCUGAGUCAACACCCACCACACUCCAGAAUGUAUUUGGAAGCUAGCAAAAAAAAAAAAAACAUUUUAUUUUCCAUGGUUAAAGGAACUCAACAAACACUAUAACCACUACCUUAGUGUCCUGGCAUUUGGCUUUUGACAAUUCAUCUAGGUACUUCCGAGCAGCUGCAGAACUUAUUGCAAUAGAAUCUGGUUAGGGCUACUUAACGAAGCAAGGCCACACUCUGCAAAUAAGCACCGUCUUGGUUUUUGCCAUACUUGGCUGUAUAGACCCAUGCGGCUUCUCCUCCUUGAACGGUUUAACCCAAAAGUUGCCUCCAAUUUAUCUUUCCCAAGCCAGUUAGUGAGUGGGGAGUCACUGAUUGGCAGAGAGUGUCAGCUGAAAAUUCAGAAGCAGGGUGCCACCUAGGGUGAGUUGAUACCGACGUUACAGGCAACUUUGAGGUUAAAGUGUUCGAGAAUAGUUUAACCCCUUGAGUCUUCAGGGACCUCCGGGCACCAUAAUAACUUAAUUUAGAUGUACGUUGCUUUGGUGCCUGGAGUGUCCUUGUAAUAAAAAUAAUUCAGAUAAUUAGCUGCUUAUGCGAAAUCUGACUUUCAGCUCAUUCCUUUAAAAACAAAACAAAACCUUCUUAUGUGACUGUUUCUUGGCAUAUACCUGGAUGGUAACAUUUGUUUUGAAUCUUAGAAAGAUUAACACCCCAUAAAAGGAACUCCAAACACCAUAACCACUACACCCUAAGGUAGUGGCUAUGGUACAAGGUGUGCCCUGGCACCCCUUCCAUAGUAAGCAGUCAAACAGUUUUAGAAUGGUAUAAUCUCUCAGAACAGGAGAUUAUGGCUCUCCUGGCUACUGCUAGGAGGUGAGGAGUGUUGCUUGGUGAGACCCAGUUAAGAAGUCAAAACAUUCUAAAACGGAAUUAAGAUUUCCUAGAACUGUAGGAAAGCUUAAUCUGUCUCAUACAAUGAUUGCGAUUCCAUGCAAGUUUCAUGAAGCAGCAGUAGUCUAAAUCGCUAGUAUUUUCACGCUACUAUUUUAGCACAGAAUCCUUCGACACUAUGUGUUUCACAUUCUUAAAGGAACACUAUGGGCACCAUAACAACGUUUAUCGAAAUUAAGUUGUUAUGGUGCUAGGAGAUCCCUGGAGGGAUUAAAGUUGUCAUCUCAUCACUGUUUCUCACUAUCCCCGUCCACAUCCGCUUUCAGAAUAUUAGCUAGUGGAAGCCCCAGACAGAAAGAGCUUGAUAAAAUACCUCCUGGCACCAUAAAAACUUAACUUCAAUGAAGUGGUUAUAGUGCCCUGACUGUUUCUUUAAGACCAUUCAUGGUUGGAUUUGUGUGAACACUGUGUGGCAGUAGUUCUUAUUGUAUAAGUCAGAGAAUUUCACAUAAAAUUUAAAUUGUUCCAUUUAAUGUUAACUAAAUAUUUGUAACUAAAAAUACUUGUCCAAAUAAGAUAAUGUUUCUGCCCACCCUGCAGAUUUCCUUUUUGAAACUAGGAUUGGCUGUCAGUGCAACCAUCACUUCCUCUAAUUAAUUUAUUUUCACCCUAGUUUUUUCAAAAUGUAUUAGAAGAAUAGGAGACAUGAAAUCAGGAAACUAAAUGUAACAAUAAAAAAAGAAAAGCAUUCAAAAUGCUAGAAAGCAAAUGUGUAUUUUUGUGUGUGUGUGUGUGUGUGUGUGUGUGUGUGUGUGUAUAUAUAUAUUUUUUUUUAUUUUUUUUUUGUGUGUGUAAUAUACACAUCUAAAAAGGAAACAAAAUAAAGAAUACACUAUGAAAUCCGUUUCUCAGAUCCUUUUUAAAAAAAUUUAUUUAAUUUUUUUUUGGUGGACAAAGUGUUAAUUGUGACUGCCUCGGUCACGCCAUAUUUUGUUCUCCACCUAAUAUAUUUAUGGUUUAUUGUAAACCUUGGGGAAUGAUGUUGAUAUGAUUUGUCCUCAUUGUGAACUUCCUUGCUCACUAGUUAUCAGUCUGAUAAUGUCCUCAAACAUCAUCAUGAUUCCUACAGGUCACUUUCACGUUGCCUUGAUCAGCAGAUACAUGUUUAUGUGCAUAGAAUUAUUAUUUCCAAAAUUAAACAUUCUGUAAAUUUGCUAACAUUUUAAUUUUGUGCAUCUGUAGAUAAUCUGAUUACAUGAACAAAUAAUGUAAAAUUAAAUUUCUGCUGUUUUUUUUAUGUUGGAGCAAUAAACAUACUAUCACAUGCUAGUGAUAAAAAAGCUUGUGAUAGCAACUCAUUGACUCCUGCCUGUGCCGUGUUACAUGCUUCUCAUUUAUUAAUGGCAUUGUGUGAUGUACGGGCACUACAAUAUAGGGGGUGAUGAUGGUUUGGUUCUGAGAUGUCGGUGGGUGAUCUAUCAAUGUUGUGAAGAAGAGAUGUGCUACUGCUACAUUGAUGUCUUGGUACUGGGAUGUGAGCUUAAAGGACAAGUAUGUUUUUGGGUCCCCCUCACCCUCUAGGUACCCCUCCGACCGGGCUGAGGGGUGAGGAAGGGAUUAAUUUCUUACCUUUUUCCAGGGCCGGGCUCCUUUGGCGCUGGGGAAUCUCCUCCUUCUUCUGCCAUCAUCGGCUGAAUGCGCAUGCGCGGCAAGAGCCGCACGCAUUCAGCCAGUCUCAUUGGAAAGCAUUCUCAAUGCUUUCCUAAGGACGCUGGCGUCUUCUUACUGUGAAAAUCACAGUGAAAAGCGUGGCAGCACCUCUAGCGGCUGUCAAUGAGACCGCCACUAGAGGCUGGAUUAACCCAUUAAGCUGAAGUGUUCUGGGUGCCUAUAGUGGUCCUUUAAUGAAAUAUAAGGAGGAUGUGCUAGUAAUAUGGGGAGUGAUUUAUUGUUACUGAGAUAGAAGUGCUAGAGUUUGGCAGGGGGAUUGUAUUUAGGAGCUGUGAAAAUGGUUUGACACAGAGAGGAGAAAUUGCCUGCUUCUUGAGUUUUGCUCCACUAAGCUAAUCAAACCAGGAAGUAGCAGGGCCUGUUGUCUGAUUGUCAGCCAGAUGGUGUGACAAGGCUAAUUUAUAAAAGUGCUGCUUUCUAUUGAAAUCUGGACUUUGUAAACUUAAGAAAAAAGGCAUACUCAUCACACAUAGCACUUCAGCAAAUCUGUAGUGUCCCUUGACCUACGAUAGUGAGCUGUAACUUUUUUAUAAUGCAUAGAGUGCUCCUUUAAAGGUACAGUAUAGUCACCAGAACCACUACCGCUUAACGCAGUGGUUCUGGUGUCUGAAAAGCCUGCAGGGACAGGCUACAAUGUAAAUGUAAUGUAACUUUUCAGAGAAAAGGCAGCAUUUACAUUGCUGCCUAGUAACACCUCUAGUGGCUGUCUAAGUGUUGCUGAGCAGCAAUGUAAACAUUGCCUUUUCUAUGAAAAGGCAUAAUUUACAUUAUAGCCUGUCCCUGCAUUGUUUUCAGACACCAGAAUCCCUGCACACCUCCAGUGACCGUCACUCAGACAGCCUCUAGGGUGCUUCCUAUCUCAGUGCUACGUUUAGCGUCUCCACACUUUGCAUGGAGACGCUGAUCGCUUCUCAUAGAUAUGCAUUGAUUCAGAGGCUGAUUGGCGCAGCGUUUUGCCGUGCAUGUGCAAUAGCUUCCCAGUGCUUUCCUAUGGGAGGCAGGGCCACCCGCUGCCAGACCUGCAAGGGAGUCAAACUACCCUUUCACUGCAAUCUGAGGGGCCAAUUACCUAAACAGCAUACAUGUUUGUAUUCCAAACACUAUAGCGUUCCUUUAAUAAUUAAUUUUUUGUGUUGUACUAUUUUGCUAAAGACUUUCCUUUCUCCAAGGAUAAACCGAUAAGAUAUUCUGCAGUGCUUGUUAAAUUGAGUAUUGGAUAUCAAGUAAUGCGACUAGUUUUAAUCUCCAGGUUACCGCUGGUUUCCAGUACGCACGGCGUGUUUGUGUACUGAUUUAUAUGGCCUGGGAAGGCUGUUUGCCAAAAAACAUGUCAACCUUUGUUUAACUUUGUGUUUGUUUUAAAUGCCACAUAAUCACAUCCUGUAUCCAACACACCACCAAAAACAUUACCUGUCUAUACCAGCAGACUCUCACAAGAAUCACUAAAUACUAUCUGCCAGUUCAGUCCAUAAUUGUGCCUUUUAUUUGUAUUUUCUUCCUUAGAAUCUUUCUAAUAUAAUUAUAUUUUUCCAGUUGACAGGAAAUAGAAAGGGGCAACCAUAUUUUUUUAUUUUUUUUUGUUAAUCGCCAUUGUCAUUCUACUGUUUAUCUGUGAUUUCUAAAAUAGUGCCAUCAGAAUGACGGAGGAAGAGGGUUAUAUUCUUCGGAGCCGCCGUUUGAUCUCCAAGCCACCCGUGACAUCAGAGAAAGAAGAUAUUGUACGAGAGAGAGCAUUUAAAGGAGCAAGUAAUGGU